GGCACCUUCGCCGCGCCCGGCCCCGAUUCCCGGGCCCCUCACAAGCUCCCUCCCCGCCGCCUCCGGGCAGCCCCCGCGGGCCAGCGGCACUCGCGGCUGUUCACCCCGCCGGGCCGGGGGUAAAGGAUGAGCGCAGGUCAGAGCCUUCGCAUCAGCCCCCACAGCCAUCCCGGGGGGCCAGGAGAGACCCUUCGUGAGGAGCCAGAUAGGGCCCUGCCCUCACGGGCUGCUCUGGGCGAGCGCGCACGAAACACACACAACACAGCACGGGCGAGGCUCUGCAGCCAUGGGAAGGGAGCAGCCACAUGCCUGAGCACCUUGCAGGCUUCCAAUGUGUGUAACAAAACCCAGCCGUCUCCAUCAGUCUCAUGCCUGCAGACUCUGCUGGAGCUGCCCUGGCCCGAGCAGCGCCUGGGGCUGAGGUUUGUGGCCAAGGAAGGAGUGACAUCCUGGGACGGGGCAACUCCAAACGCAGGUGUUGGUCCCUGCAAUGGUCAAGGCCUGGUUAUCCAGCCUGGCAGCCAAGCCACUUCAGUGAGACAUUGUCUGUAAGACUAACUUUGGAGGAUCAAAGGAAAAACUCGACAAGGCCUAAUUUCUCCUUCAAGCCCCAGGAGCUCCUUCCAUCUCUAGAGCUACACUUAAGAGUCCAGAGCAGUUGUGACAUCUCUGAGGCACCUUGUUCUGUUUUUUCUUCAUCUUCUUCUUCCUGUUGACAACUGAUGACAUCUUGGUUGCAGAAGAGUGAGGGUCCCCCCAGGACAUGGCCUCUCCAUCUGUUCCUCAAGGAAGCUCUCCCUCCAGCAACAGAUGCUGUUGUUCUCCUGCACCAUCAAUCCCUUUCAGUAAGGGACAGGGAUUAGGUGUGGGUAACACGUCUUAAGGGAAGGCAGAACAGAAGGAGCUUUUCUGCAGGACCCAGCAGCAUCUCAUCCAGACAAACCUGGCUGGGAACAUAAGUGCCAAGUUAAAGGAUGAUCUGUCCCUAAGCAAGGUGACUGUUCCAGAUCUGCUCCAAGGAGGAACUGUGGAUGCCAGAACCACAUCUAAGGGUGGACCUGGGUCCUGUGUGAUGCUGCAGCCAGAGAUUGCUCUGGCAAGGCAGCAGCACCUCCUUGCUUACAGCCAAAUGUGGAGGAACAGGCCCUGCUGCUCCUUCUUAGGGCCCAGAAAUUACAGCAGCUACUUGCAUAAUGCUGACCAGAUGGUCUCACUGCCCUGCUGCCCUCCCGCCCCAAGUGCUGCUUGCUAAGAUGUUGCUGCUUCUCCAGGACAAGGAACCUUCACUUCACUGGAACCUGCAUUACCUUGACUAUCAGGUAAGUAUGUGGUCAGCCUAGAGGCAGUGCUCACAGGACAGCUGCUGACUCCUUAUGAUUGAUCUUCACAUCAUGGAGUCAUUUAUACUCUUUCCAAGGUGUCCAAGCUGUGGUUUGUGAUGGCUUCUGUCCCCUGCUCUUCUCACAUUCUACCUUGUAACACAUGUAGAGCUCAGAUUUAUUUCUAUACUCUGCAAAAGUCUUGUAACUCCCCAUCUUCCAGUGUCACUUGGUGUCAGUUCAGAGAUGAAGAUGUUUCCUGCUCUCCAGAUGUCCAGACUGCCAAAUUUCCCUUUUAAGCAGCUCUGUGCACCCUAUCAAGGCAGGUUUAGCAUUUGUUCUGUUUCUUUCUGCAGAGCUUGGCCCAGUUCCUGUAGGGAGGACAGACACUGAGAAGUAUUACGGAUCACAAAUCUGCCCUUCUUCCCCCCACUUCUAUCCACAGAGGUCAGAACAAGUGCAGUGGUCCUGAAAUUGCUCCACAAUGUGUUUUUUUUCCCCAGUGCCUGGGUGGGAUUCCACACAAUAAAAAAAAUCUCAGUUGAAAUGAGAGCAUGUGGCUGGCUUCAGCUCACUUACUGAUCAGCUGCCUGGGGCUCUUGCUUUCCUGCCUACAGUUGUUAAAGUAGGGCUACAGCUCUGAAUUCAAACCCUACAGUGAAUAAAGGGAAGGCAUUUGGAUAUGUAGAUCUGGAGCCAUGAAUGGGAAUAGAUGCUGAACAGACAAGUGAUUACAGGCAGUAGAACCUUUACUUACUUAAAAAAGUCUGCUUUGUCUUUGAGGUGUCUAAAGCAGCAAGUGGCCGCUGGUGUCAGGUCAUUAAGGAAAUCUGCAGGCUCCAAUGGAAAACCACAAUAAACCUCUGCUCAAUCACCAAACAGCUGCUGACCUCUUUUGUGCACAUUCAGCUCAAGGUGCCUUGUCUUUCCUUCAGUCUGAAGUUCAGGAGCACACUUCAGUCUUUUCUGAUACCUAAGUUUUUAUUUAAAGACUAGGAAACCCAGCUUGGAGGGACUGUUGACACUUACUGUAGCAGGGAUGUGAGAAUAGGGAGAGAUGAAAAACAUUACUAAAAUGGGUUUAAGAGCAACUUAAGCUUGUAAGUUUGCAGGCAGAAGUAGCAAGUUAUUACUGGAGCAUUCCCUGAGGAAAAGACUGGGAAAGUUAAUUAUUUAUCAAAAAACAAAGCCUAAUGCUACUGUUUUUAACAGAACAAAAUUAAAUACAAGAAACAAUCUCCAAUACAGCCCUUCUAGAACAGUUGUUUCACUGCUCAGGAUUGAUGAAUCCACUCAAUGGGACUGCGAGAGAGAAAUCAGAUUCAUAAUUUCUGAUGGUAAUUGAGGCAUAGAAUUAUCUUUAAGCCUUGUGAGAAAAAAACCUAAAAAACCCACUUGGAAAUAGACCUAGUUCCACACAGCCUUUCAGAGAAGAGCAGAACGCACAAGGGGAAGGGAUUUUUCUGAUCAGACAUUACAAGAACCAAGGUCAAACUGGUAGGAACCAGCAUCAAUAGAGUCAACACUGGAUUUAAAGUUCCUGGUAAGCUUAAACCUUGUUCAAGACAUCCUUUAGGUGGUGCAGAAAAUGACUGACCAGCUUCCCCUCUGCUCUGACAGCUUAGCAGAUGUGACAGCUGUCACAAACUUUCCUCCCUGCCCCCACCAUUACAAAAGGACUGGAGCAGACAUCCGCCUUGCUGCAGCCGGGAGGAUCUGUUCUGUAAUUUACAGAGGAACAAGGCAGAGCCUGUACCAUGACACACUAUCGUUUUUACUGUUCCCGAGCAGCAGCUGACCAGAACCAGCCAAGACGUGCAGGUUUUGUGCCCGCUGCAGCUCGGGGGUGGGACAGGGGGUGUGUCAGCUUAAGCACGAGUUGACAAACAGCACUUAGCUUAUCUCAAGAAACCUGAGCACUCCCUCAGCAGAUGACAGAGCUGUAAAUCUUGUUAUGUAUAGCCCUAAAAGUAUCAUUAAGACAACUUAGAAUAGUUCGUUUGUAUUAGAUACGAAAAAUGUUGUCUUGCAGCUAUGCAGAGGAAAACAUCUUACAGUCGUUUGUGCACUUUGCAUCCACCUGAAAAACCGCCGGCUGUUCCAGAAGGCCUGAAGCAUCUAAUAAAAGUAUCCCUGAGAGCCUUAAACUCUUAAGAUGAAAAGGUCUCUGUAAGAAUGCAAGGCCUGAAACUGAACUUCAUUUACUUAUGGACAUUUACUUCUCUGUCUAGUUCUGGUUUCAUGGCACAGGAGGUUUCCCAGUCCAGGGUGUGAGUGGCAUGAAACUAUGUAACAGUGUGGAGAAUGGAAAAAUAAAAUUGUUUUCUGUUGAUACUCAGGCGAACUAUCACACAGAACUAGAAAGUUCUGGAGAGGAGAAGCAUCUGAAAACAAAUCAGAUUUAUGCGGUUGAACUGUUUGUUUUCUGUUGUGCAGUAGGGAGCUAUCUUGAGUUUCAUGCUUUGGUAUUUAAUAUUUGCACCACUUUCACUGGUAUAGACUGCCAAUUUUCUGUUUAUCUAUGAGCUUUAAGUUUGCCAGGAGAACAGUAAGGAGACUGAAACUUUAAAUAACAAGGAAGUUCUCUGGGUAUGUGUUUGUCUUGUUCUCUGCUGCUCCAAACAGUAUUUGAGAUAUCCACCUUAAUUUUGACUUAGGAAAAGAAAUCAAUACAUGUCACUGAAGAACACAUAAUACAAGUAGGACAGAGAACUGAGGCUGCUGGAAUCAAUGUCUCUCUGAAUGCUGUUAUCUGAAAUACAGUGACACAGUAGAAAUUGAUAAAGAGCAUGAUAUUUAACCAGACUGAUUCUUCUGCUCCACAUCCAUAUUUUCCCCCUCCAACCCCACCAUGUGGAGCCUAUAUAGAUUUGAAAGCCCCAAAUACAGCAAGCAGGAUGUUCUGUGAUGGUGGGUCAUCACAUCAGUGCCUCAAUCCAGUCUGAAGAAUCUCUCACAGCAGUCUCCUGAGCCCUGUGCUGUGGCAGCUACUAUUCUUGAUACAAACCAGAUCUGAUAGCUCCACACUCCAGCUUUUCCUCUGGCUAAAGGAUGUUCCCAUUGCUUUCUAGCAAUUUCAAGUGACUUGUUCAUUUUGGAGUAGCUUUGACAGGAAUGGGUCUUAAAUGAAAAACAUCCAAGAACUGAGUCAGCGACGGGGGAAAUACAACCUCUGCAAGCUGGGUCAGGACUGAAAGUCUAAGCAAGAGUCACUCCACCCAGGAAAGAUUAGUACUGCUCUAGUUGGUGCGAGAGCUGCUGUCAGGUUGGCAGAUCCUGCCCACAGACCAAGUUUGUGAAUGGUUCCUUCAACCCCACAGGCUGCUGUGAAACAACAGAGGGGGCUGGGAGCCCACAGAGCCUGCUGAGAGAAAGCAAUCGAAACUCAUGGACAAAACAAGUGGUUUGAUGCUAACUUUAGUAAGUAAAGUUUUCCAGAUAAAGGCAAUUGCAUCCAUAUUUAACAGCUGUUAAAGAGAUAUACAUUUAAUUGCAUUAUAUAAGGAGUGCUUUAUAUUCAAGAGAAAACAUUUCAAAUGUCUUAGUUCUACCUGUUUGGAAUCCAGACUUUCUCCUUAGAAGAUAUUCCAGUUGACAAAAAGGGCCUUGUUCAGAUAUCUGGGAUCAACUGAAUACAUUUAUUUAAAAGCAAUUUUAAAUAUUAAAAAAGUAGAAAUUAACACAUACAGUACUCAAAAACUGUCACAUUAAAUACAUGUGAAUAGACAUGUGUACUGAUGUUUUACCUUAACAUUCAAUGAGAAGUCAAGAUUUUAACUAGUGGCAUGACCAGAUCUGAUUUCUGUACACGCUGAUGUACUAUGUAAUAAAAAAAUAAAUAGCAACUGUUGUUCAACAGUAAAUAAGACAUCAUCUGCAGAGCAAACUUCCCCCUCUGGGGGCACCUUCCCCUGCCCCUCCCCCCAACCCUUUAUCAGCUAAUUUUCCAUAAAGAUUUAGACUUUCCAAAUACUAUGUCAUAUACAAAAUUGCAGACAGUGGCUCAUUGAGUUCAAAUAUAAUACUGUACUUAAACUCAAUCAAUAUCAUACAUUUUCAGAUUUCUUAUGAUCCACAAUAAGCCAGAAUAAACAGAACUAUUGUUCCUUAUGGAACUCAUUUAAUUUUAUAAAAUGCAUAUGUAUACUAUUUUAAAGAGCGUAGAAAAGAAUAGACAUUUGACUCUACAUAAUUUUACAUGCCUAGGUUUUCUUUAUAUGAUUUGCAUUUAUCAGUUUAUUUCAAGAUCACUUAAAAAUACAACUGACCACAAAAGUGAAUAGGUUUUGUUCUUUAAUGCAACUUAAAACAUUGUAGUAAUGGAUAAAA